GGGCUAGCGUUGUUCGGAAUUACUGGGCGUAGAGCGCGCGCAGGCGGCUAUCCAAGUCAGUGGUGAAAGCCCGGAGCUCAACUCCGGAACUGCCAUUGAAACUGUUUAGCUUGAGGACGAGAGAGGUGAGUGGAAUUCCCAGUGUAGAGGUGAAAUUCGUAGAUAUUGGGAAGAACACCGGUGGCGAAGGCGGCUCACUGGCUCGUAUCUGACGCUCAGGCGCGACAGCGUGGGGAUCAAACAGG
rnacentral:rRNA from 1 species